AUUGAACGCUGGCGGCAGGCCUAACACAUGCAAGUCGAGCGGAUGAAGGGAGCUUGCUCCUGGAUUCAGCGGCGGACGGGUGAGUAAUGCCUAGGAAUCUGCCUGGUAGUGGGGGAUAACGUCCGGAAACGGGCGCUAACACCGCAUACGUCCUGAGGGAGAAAGUGGGGGAUCUUCGGACCUCACGCUAUCAGAUGAGCCUAGGUCGGAUUAGCUAGUUGGUGGGGUAAAGGCCUACCAAGGCGACGAUCCGUAACUGGUCUGAGAGGAUGAUCAGUCACACUGGAACUGAGACACGGUCCAGACUCCUACGGGAGGCAGCAGUGGGGAAUAUUGGACAAAGGGCGAAAGCCUGAUCCAGCCAUGCCGCGUGUGUGAAGAAGGUCUUCGGAUUGUAAAGCACUUUAAGUUGGGAGGAAGGGCAGUAAGUUAAUACCUUGCUGUUUUGACGUUACCAACAGAAUAAGCACCGGCUAACUUCGUG
rnacentral:rRNA from 1 species